rnacentral:rRNA from 1 species
GGCGAUCAGAUACCGCCCUAGUUCUGACCGUAAACGAUGCCAACUAGCGAUCCGCCAGUCGACUCAUCGCUCUGGUGGGGAGCUUCCCGGAAACGAAAGUCUUCCGGUUCCGGGGGAAGUAUGGUUGCAAAGCUGAAACUUAAAGGAAUUGACGGAAGGGCACCAUCAGGAGUGGAGCCUGCGGCUUAAUUUGACUCAACACGGGGAAACUCACCCGGCCCGGACACCGUAAGGAUUGACAGAUUGAUAGCUUUUUCAUGAUUCGGUGGAUGGUGGUGCAUGGCCGUUCUUAGUUCGUGGAGCGAUUUGUCUGGUUUAUUCCGAUAACGAGCGAGACUCUGGCCUACUAAAUAGUUGACGCAUUGCCACUGUGCGCACAACUUCUUAGAGGGAUUUUCGGUGUUUUCAACCGCACGAAAUUGAGCAAUAACAGGUCUGUGAUGCCCUUAGAUGUCCGGGGCUGCACGCGCGCUACACUGGCAAACGCAACGUGCCUGUCCUGCCCCGAAAGGAGCGGGUAAACCCCUGAAAUUUUGCCGUGAUUGGGAUCGGACAUUGCAACUAUUGUCCGUGAACGAGGAAUUCCUUGUAGGGGCGAGUCAUCAACUCGUCCCGAAUACGUCCCUGCCCUUGUA